rnacentral:rRNA from 1 species
AUUGAACGCUGGCGGCAUGCCUUACACAUGCAAGUCGAACGGCAGCACGGGAGCAAUCCUGGUGGCGAGUGGCGAACGGGUGAGUAAAGUAUCGGAACGUGCCCAGUCGUGGGGGAUAACGUAGCGAAAGUUACGCUAAUACCGCAUACGAUCUAUGAAUGAAAGCGGGGGAUCGCAAGACCUCGCGCGAUUGGAGCGGCCGAUAUCAGAGUAGGUAGUUGGUGGGGUAAAGGCUCACCAAGCCGACGAUCUGUAGCUGGUCUGAGAGGACGACCAGCCACACUGGGACUGAGAAACGGCCCAGACUCCUACGGGAGGCAGCAGUGGGGAAUUUUGGACAAUGGGCGAAAGCCUGAUCCAGCCAUGCCGCGUGCAGGAUGAAGGCCUUCGGGUUGUAAACUGCUUUUGUACGGAACGAAAAGGUUUGGCCUAAUAAGCUGAGCUCAUGACGGUACCGUAAGAAUAAGCACCGGCUAACUACGUGCCAGCCGCCGCGGUAA